GACGGAGGGUGCAAACGUUGCUCGGAAUCACUGGGCGUAAAGAGUGCGUAGGCGGUUUUCUAAGUUUGGUGUGAAAUCUCCCGGCUUAACUGGGAGGGUGCGCCGAAGACUGGAAGGCUUGAGUAUGGGAGAGGUAAGCGGAAUUCCUGGUGUAGCGGUGAAAUGCGUAGAUAUCAGGAGGAACACCUGCGGUGUAGACGGCUUACUGGACCAUCACUGACGCUGAGGCACGAAAGCGUGGGUAGCAAACAGG
rnacentral:rRNA from 1 species